CCGUAGGUGAACCUGCGGAAGGAUCAUUAAAGAGAUAGGGUCUUCAUGGCCCGACCUCCAACCCUCUGUUGUUAAAACUACCUUGUUGCUUUGGCGGGACCGUCUCGGUCUCCGAGCGCACUAACCCUCGGGUUGGUGAGCGCCCGCCAGAGUCCAACCAAACUCUUGUAUUAAACCAGUCGUCUGAGUAUAAAAUUUUAAUUAAAUUAAAACUUUCAACAACGGAUCUCUUGGUUCUCGCAUCGAUGAAGAACGCAGCGAAAUGCGAUAAGUAAUGUGAAUUGCAGAAUUCAGUGAAUCAUCGAAUCUUUGAACGCACAUUGCGCCCCUUGGUAUUCCGAGGGGCAUGCCUGUUCGAGCGUCAUUACACCACUCAAGCAUCGCUUGGUAUUGGGAACGGUCCGUCGAAAGGCGGGCCUUCCUCGAAGACCUCGGCGGGGUUCAACCAACUUCGGGCGUAGUAGAGUUAAAUCGAACGUCUUAUAAGCUUGGUCGGAUCUCAUUGCCGUUAAACCUUUAAAUUUUCUAGGUUGACCUCGGAUCAGGUAGGGAUACCCGCUGAACU
rnacentral:rRNA from 1 species